UUUUCCCAAAAUAACUGCAUUACUGAAAAAUACUAGAUUACUAAACCUAUGCAGUUGCUGCACAUGUCAUUAUGCACAAUUAAUGAAACUUUCUGAAUAGAAAGUUAUGAUAUGAACCAAAUAACCAUACAACCCCCUUGACUAAUUCUAAGCAUAAAAUACAUACAUAUACAAUUUGUUAUAUUCAGAUAGCCUGUUGUAAUGGAAUGAGUAGCAGGGCAAUAUACAUACAUGUAUCCUUUAUGCCUUACAAAGAAAGCGUUCAUUAGAGCUGAUUGGAUGCACAAGUUGCAGUAAUAUAUUCAUUUUCGAGGUUUGUGUAAUACUAGUUUUCUGGCCAGUGUGACCUAGUGAUUUGUUAUUAAAACGCAUCCAAAAUGACUUCAUUAAAUGCUCAUUUGUCUGUUUCUUUAGGUUCUUAACCAGCAAAAACCUCAAAAUCGAGUUUUUCAAAGAACUGGACAAACAACUCCUCGCUGUCUUGACAUUUUCAAGUCCAAGGGUGGAUGUACCGGCCAGAUACUUAAGGCGUAUUUGCAUCAUCAAAUCGCACUGGGGAAUACAGAUGUUACUGCUAAGUGAACAGCAGUCCUCCGUGGCCUUCCCAUCCUCCUUGGAGAUGAGAACAAAGACUUCAAGACAUACUUUGACUGUGAUGAACCUGAACUGGCCAACACCUCCAUUGAGAUCCUAACAGUAAUCCCUGAAGGUACCCCACCUCAAGGAACACACCAACAUUUUGGGUUUUUAGCUUAUUCACUGUAUUCCCCAGAGUUACAUAA